UUUUCCGCUUACGUUUGGCAGGGAUGCUCGUCGGACAGUAGAAGUGGAAUCUACGCUUGAACGUCUUACAGAUGUGGAACUUCGUACAAAUGGCCUCCAAAUACAUCGUUUUAUUGAGUUCACCCGAAGCUGAAAACCAUUGAGAUUCGGGACUGGCAGAGAUGUAAGACAAACAUCGAACGACACGUGGAGUGAAUAAGGAGCGAAGAAUUUCAGGAUUGCAGAAGCACAACAAUAAAGUGUUACAUGCUGGACGGCGGGCCGUU